UACGGAGGGUGCAAGCGUUAUCCGGAUUCACUGGGUUUAAAGGGUGCGUAGGUGGGCAGGUAAGUCAGUGGUGAGAUCUCCGGGCUUAACCCGGAAACUGCCGUUGAUACUAUCUGUCUUGAAUAUCGCGUAGGUAAGCGGAAUAUGUCAUGUAGCGGUGAAAUGCUUAGAUAUGACAUAGAACACCAAUUGCGAAGGCAGCUUACUUCACGAUCAUUGACACUGAGGCACGAAAGCGUGGGGAGCAAACAGG
rnacentral:rRNA from 1 species